UACGUAGGGUGCGAGCGUUGUCCGGAAUUAUUGGGCGUAAAGGGCUCGUAGGCGGUUUGUCGCGUCGGGAGUGAAAACCCAGGGCUUAACCCUGGGCUGGCUUCCGAUACGGGCAGACUAGAGGUAUGCAGGGGAGAACGGAAUUCCUGGUGUAGCGGUGAAAUGCGCAGAUAUCAGGAGGAACACCGGUGGCGAAGGCGGGUCUCUGGGCCGAUAUCGACGCUGAGGAGCGAAAGCGUGGGGAGCGAACAGG
rnacentral:rRNA from 1 species